rnacentral:lncRNA from 1 species
UCCAUCCCAAAAUCCAUCCUGAAAUCCAUCCAAAAACCCAUCCCAAAAACCCCGAAAUCCAUCCCAAAAUCCAUCCCAAAAUCCAUCCCGGCAUCCUCUUCAUGGCCGCGGGUAUGAACCCCCAAAUCCGCCCCAAAAACCCCGAAAUCCAUCCCAAAAACCCCUAAAAUCCAUCCCAAAAAGCAGCAAAAUCCAUAAAAAAAUCCAUCUCAAAAAUCCAUCCCAAAAUCCAUCCCAAAACCCCAAAAAUCCACCCCAAAAUCCAUCCCUUUUUUUUAAAUUUUCCCCCAUAAAAAUUUUUUUUCCCCCCUAUUUUUUUAAUUUCAAAUUUUUAAUUUUCCCCCCAUUUUUUUUGUAAUUUACCCAAUUUUUUUAAAAUUUCCCCCCAUUUUCCCCCAUAUUUUUUUAAUUGCAAUUUUUUCCCCCCCAUUAACGAAUCAUUUAACCCCUUCGCUGCCAGGCCUGUCCAACAUCGUCGCCGCCAUCCUUU